GACGAACGCUGGCGGCGUGCUUAACACAUGCAAGUCGAACGGUGAAGGGACCGGUUUUCGCUGGUUCUGGAUGAGUGGCGAACGGGUGAGUAACACGUGAGUAACCUGCCCCCUUCUUCUGGAUAACCGCAUGAAAGUGUGGCUAAUACGGGAUAUUCUGCGCCUGCUGCAUGGUGGGUGUGGGAAAGAUAUUGUUUCGGUGGGGGAUGGGCUCGCGGCCUAUCAGCUUGUUGGUGGGGUGAUGGCCUACCAAGGCGGUGACGGGUAGCCGGCCUGAGAGGGUGGACGGUCACACUGGGACUGAGACACGGCCCAGACUCCUACGGGAGGCAGCAGUGGGGAAUAUUGCACAAUGGGCGCAAGCCUGAUGCAGCGACGCCGCGUGAGGGAUGGAGGCCUUCGGGUUGUAAACCUCUUUCGCCAGUGAAGCAGGCCUGUCCCUUUUGUGGGUGGGUUGACGGUAGCUGGAGAAGAAGCGCCGGCUAACUACGUG
rnacentral:rRNA from 1 species